GUCCUUGUUAGAACAGAGCAUGGAUAUCUGCCAGAUCUCAAACCCCAGCCAGACUCCCAGUCUCCUCUGUUCUCAUCCUUCCUGUUUCUGCCUGGAGCUCUGUGCCUGCGGCAUCUCCUGGAGUUUACAAAAUCUGUCCGUGUGUAAAGGGUAUGCUGUGCUAUGAUGAGCAGAGGAAGACACUGAACAGUGAGCUCGGCUGAGGAAGCCAUCACACCAAGAGAACAUGCCCAUCCCAGUGCUUACCCGGCCUCUAACACGGAGGGACAGCCAAACCUCUCCUAGUGCGUGUUCCAUAGCUGGCCCUGGGCUCCUCAAACUCAUCCACGUUGAGCAAGCUUGAGGCACCACUGUCACUCCUCCUUUGAGGAACUGAGGCAGGAGGAUUGAGAGUUCCCAGUCAACCUGAGCUACGGAAUGAGACCCUGACACCCCCUGUCCCCUCUGCCUCAAAAAGCCAAUGUCAAAAAAAGGAACACUCCCCCACAAACCAGAAAGCUGUUCCAGAGUGAAGGUUGUGACAAAUCAAGACCACAGAUGUUGGGCUAGCAAGGUG